rnacentral:rRNA from 2 species
ACGAAUGGGUCCACCGCUGGGGGCGCUGGGACGUGUUACUGCCUAACUUCGGCCCCGACUCCGUCCAAGAUUCCUACGGGAGGUAGCAUUUGGGAAUCUCGCACAACGGGCGGAAGCCUCAUGCACCAAGGCCGCCUGAGGGAUGACGGCCUUCGGGUUGUAAACCUCUUUCGACAGGGAGGAAGCUUCUGGACGGUACCUGUAUAAGAAGCACGGGGUAACUACGUGCCAGCAGCCGCGGUAAUACGUAGGGUGCGAGCGUUGUCCGGAAUUACUGGGCGUAAAGAGCUCGUAGGUGGUUUGUCGCGUUGUCUGUGAAAUUCCGGGGCUUAACUCCGGGCGUGCAGGCGAUACGGGCAUAACUUGAGUGCUGUAGGGGAGACUGGAAUUCCUGGUGUAGCGGUGAAAUGCGCAGAUAUCAGGAGGAACACCGAUGGCGAAGGCAGGUCUCUGGGCAGUAACUGACGCUGAGGAGCGAAAGCAUGGGGAGCGAACAGGAUUAGAUACCCUGGUAGUCCAUGCCGUAAACGGUGGGCGCUAGGUGUAGGGGACUUCCACGUCUUCUGUGCCGUAGCUAACGCAUUAAGCGCCCCGCCUGGGGAGUACGGCCGCAAGGCUAAAACUCAAAGGAAUUGACGGGGGCCCGCACAAGCGGCGGAGCAUGUGGAUUAAUUCGAUGCAACGCGAAGAACCUUACCUGGGCUUGACAUAUACAGGAUCGCUGCAGAGAUGUAGUUUCCCUUGUGGUCUGUAUACAGGUGGUGCAUGGUUGUCGUCAGCUCGUGUCGUGAGAUGUUGGGUUAAGUCCCGCAACGAGCGCAACCCUUGUCUUAUGUUGCCAGCACACUUUGGUGGGGACUCAUGAGAGACUGCCGGGGUUAACUCGGAGGAAGGUGGGGAUGACGUCAAAUCAUCAU